AAAAACAUGUCUUUUUGUAAUAAUUUAAAGUCUAAUCUGCCCACUGAUAUUAUUAAAGGGCUGCAGUAUUUUGACUGUACAAAGGUAGCAUAAUCAUUUGUCUCUUAAUUGGUGACUUGUAUGAAAGAUUGAAUGAAAUAUGAACUGUCUCAAUUUAAUUUAUAAAAUUUAAUUUUUUAGUCAAAAAGCUAAAAUAAAUUUAAAAGACGAGAAGACCCUAUAGAGUUUUAUAAUUAUAUUAAUUAUAAUAAAAUAUAAAUUUUUUAAUUAAAAUUAAUAUAAUUAUUUUGUUGGGGUGACAAAAAAAUUAAAUUAACUUUUUUUAAAAAAUUUACAUUAAUUUAUGAUUUUAUGAUCCAUUUUUAGUGAUUAAAAGAAAAAAUUACCUUAGGGAUAACAGCGUAAUUUUUUUUUUUAGAUCAAAUAAAAAAAAAAGUUUGCGACCUCGAUGUUGGAUUAAGAUAAAAUUUAAAUGCAAAAGUUUAAAAUUUUUGAUCUGUUCGAUCAUUAAAAUCUUACAUGAUCUGAGUC
rnacentral:rRNA from 1 species